UGGUUUAUUGGAUCGUACCCGUUAAACGGAUAACUGUAAUAACUCUAGAGUAAUACGUGCUUUGAUGCCCUGACUCUGCUGUUUGCUUGCUUGCCCGCUGCUGUCUAGUAGUGGUGGCAGUAGGCAGUAAGGGAUGGGUGCACUUAUUAAAUCAAAAGCCAACCAAUUGUUCGCACCACGUGCGCCUGCAUUUGUUGCAUGCGUGUGUGCGGGUGGGCGUUGAGAGGAGACCGCUUCUGGUGACUCUGGAUAAUUGUUACAGAUCGCAGUCGGCCUUGAGUCGGCGACGGGUCCUUCAAAUGUCUGCCCUAUCAACUGUCGAUGGUAGGUGACCUGCCUACCAUGGUGAUAACGGGUAACGGGGAAUCAGGGUUCGAUUCCGGAGAGGGAGCCUGAGAAACGGCUACCACUUCCAAGGGAGGCAGCAAGCGCGCAAAUUACCCACUCCCGGCACGGGGAGGUGGUGACGAAAAAUACCGAUGCGGGACUCCUUUAAGAGGCUCCGUAAUCGGAAUGAGUGGACUCUAAAUCCUUUCACGAGGAUCUAUUGGAGGGCAAGUCUGGUGCCAGCAGCCGCGGUAACUCCAGCUCCAAUAGCGUAUAUUAAAGUUGCUGCAGUUAAAAAGCUCGUAGUUGGAUCUCGGUAGCAUUGUUGCCUGUUGGUAAUUGAGCGAUCGGUGUGUGUUCAAUGAUGCACGGUCUGGCUGGCACAUUGUCUGCGUGUGUGUGUGUGUGCGUAGUGGAUGCGGCGACGAGUCGGCCAAAUGGUUGGCAGGCUAGUGAGUUGGUUGGUUGACUGACUGACUGACCGACGGACUUGCUCGCUAGGUGGUUGAUGCAUUGUUGGCUUACCAUUGCUGCUGCUGCACGCAUGCAUUGUGUGUGCUUGCAUGCGUUGUGCUGUCGUGCCCAUGAAGAAACACUGUCGUGUCAAGCCGACCAAGCGAUGGAGGCACCUUUAACCAUGUCUGUGGUGUAACAGCCGCAGGUGUGGACGGAUGUUGGGCGGUGCUCUACACACGUUGUGGGGCCUGUCGGCUCGUCUGCAUGCCUUUGGAUGCCCUUGAAUGAGGUGUCUACAGGCGGAUGCACGUUUACUUUGAACAAAUUUGAUUGCUCAAUCAGGCCGAUGUUGCCUGAAAAGUUUUGCAUGGAAUAAUGGAAUAGGACUCGGUUCUAUUUCGUUGGUUUUCGGAUCCGAA
rnacentral:rRNA from 1 species